UUGUAAGGCACAUUUUAAGCAACAAUAGUAAGGAACAGCGGUGUCGAAAUGUUUCCCUUUUAAGUCAAACGAGUCCUGGAUGUUAAUCUACACAGAUUUCUCCUCUGAAAACUGCUUAUUUGGGAAGUCGAGUGAUUGCAGUGCAGGAAACCAAACUGCAGGAGGAGUACAGACCUACACCACUGACUAGCACUUUUAACAGCACUAAAGAGAACCUGAAACAACAUCACGGGAUCUUCUGCAGAAAUCAUCAUCGAGUCCCUUACUCAGAAUUAUGAUGGCUCUGAGGCUCAGACCUGUGUUUCCUGACCACAUUUCCUGAAAAACGAGUUCACUUAAAGGACUGACCCUCCUAUUGGGCAGAGUGGGAUAAAGGACCUCCGCCUGCACUGACAGGAAAGCGAAACCAGUGCACUAACUGGAUCUACCGUACUUUAUUUUGUGUUCAU
rnacentral:lncRNA from 1 species